rnacentral:rRNA from 1 species
GACGAACGCUGGCGGCGUGCCUAAUACAUGCAAGUAGGACGCAAGGGAACACACUGUGCUUGCACACCGUGUUUUCUUGAGUCGCGAACGGGUGAGUAACGCGUAGGUAACCUGCCUAUUAGCGGGGGAUAACUAUUGGAAACGAUAGCUAAUACCGCAUAAUAUUAAUUAUUGCAUGAUAAUUGAUUGAAAGAUGCAAGCGCAUCACUAGUAGAUGGACCUGCGUUGUAUUAGCUAGUUGGUAAGGUAAGAGCUUACCAAGGCGACGAUACAUAGCCGACCUGAGAGGGUGAUCGGCCACACUGGGACUGAGACACGGCCCAGACUCCUACGGGAGGCAGCAGUAGGGAAUCUUCGGCAAUGGACGAAAGUCUGACCGAGCAACGCCGCGUGAGUGAAGAAGGUUUUCGGAUCGUAAAGCUCUGUUGUAAGUCAAGAACGUGUGUGAGAGUGGAAAGUUCACACAGUGACGGUAGCUUACCAGAAAGGACGGC